GAUUAACGCUAGCGGCAGGCAUAAUACAUGCAAGUUGAACGAGAUAAGUUUUAGCAAUAGAACUUUGAAAGUGGCGCACGGGUGCGUAACACGUAUGCAACCUACCUUUUACAGGGGAAUAGCCUCUCGAAAGAGAGAUAAAUACCCCAUAAUAUAUUGAUAAGGCAUCUUAUUAAUAUUAAAGUUACGGCGGUAAAAGAUGGCAUGCGGCUGAUUAGGUAGUUGGUGAGGUAAUGGCUCACCAAGACGACGAUCAGUAGGGGGUCCGAGAGGAUGGCCCCCCACACUGGGACUGAGACACGGACCAUACUCCUACGGGAGGCAGCAGUAGGGAAUAUUGGACAAUAGUCGCAAGCCUGAUCCAGCCAUGCCGCGUGCAGGAUGAAGGCCCUAUGGGUCGUAAACUGCUUUUGUACGGGAAGAAACCUCACUACGUGUAGUGAGUUGACGGUACCGUGAGAAUAAGGAUCGGCUAACUUCGUGCCAGCCGCCGCCGUAACAC
rnacentral:rRNA from 1 species